UACGUAGGGUGCGAGCGUUAAUCGGAAUUACUGGGCGUAAAGGGCGCGUAGGCGGCCACCGCAAGUCGGUUGUGAAAUCUCUGGGCUUAACCCAGAAAGGUCAACCGAUACUGCGGGGCUAGAGUGCAGAAGGGGCAACUGGAAUUCUCGGUGUAGCGGUGAAAUGCGUAGAUAUCGAGAGGAACACCUGCGGCGAAGGCGACUACCUGGCCUGUUCUUGACGCUGAGGCGCGAAAGCUAGGGGAGCAAACGGG
rnacentral:rRNA from 1 species